UUUACUGAGAGUUUGAUCCUGGCUCAGGACGAACGCUGGCGGCGUGCCUAAUACAUGCAAGUCGUGCGGACCUUUUAAAAGCU
rnacentral:rRNA from 1 species